rnacentral:rRNA from 1 species
AACUCAAAGGAAUUGACGGGGGCCCGCACAAGCGGUGGAUCAUGUGGUUUAAUUCGAAGCAACGCGAAGAACCUUACCUGGGUUUGACAUCUCCUGACAUCCGUAGAGAUACGGCUUCUGUAGCAAUACAGCAGGAAGACAGGUGCUGCAUGGCUGUCGUCAGCUCGUGUGGUGACAUGUUGGGUUAAGUCCCGCAACGAGCGCAACCCUUGUCUCUAGUUGCCAGCAUUCAGUUGGGCUCUCUAGAGAGACUGCCGUGGUGAACACGGAGGAAGGUGGGGAUGACGUCAAGUCCUCAUGGCCUUUAUAUCCAGGGCGACACACGUGAUACAAUGGUCGGUACAGAGGGACGCGAACCCGCGAGGGGGAGCUAAUCUCAAAAAGCCGAUCUCAGUUCGGAUUGGAGUCUGCAACUCGACUCCAUGAAGUUGGAAUCGCUAGUAAUCGCGGAUCAGCACGCCGCGGUGAAUACGUUCCCGGGCCUUGUACACACCGCCCGU